GACGAACGCUGGCGGCGUGCCUAAUACAUGCAAGUAGAACGCUGAAGAGAGGAGCUUGCUCUUCUUGGAUGAGUUGCGAACGGGUGAGUAACGCGUAGGUAACCUGCCUGGUAGCGGGGGAUAACUAUUGGAAACGAUAGCUAAUACCGCAUAAAAUUGAUUAUUGCAUGAUAAUUAAUUGAAAGAUGCAACUGCAUCACUACCAGAUGGACCUGCGUUGUAUUAGCUAGUUGGUGAGGUAACGGCUCACCAAGGCGACGAUACAUAGCCGACCUGAGAGGGUGAUCGGCCACACUGGGACUGAGACACGGCCCAGACUCCUACGGGAGGCAGCAGUAGGGAAUCUUCGGCAAUGGGGGGAACCCUGACCGAGCAACGCCGCGUGAGUGAAGAAGGUUUUCGGAUCGUAAAGCUCUGUUGUAAGAGAAGAACGGGUGUGAGAGUGGAAAGUUCACACUGUGACGGUACCUUACCAGAAAGGGACGGCUAACUACGUG
rnacentral:rRNA from 1 species